rnacentral:rRNA from 1 species
GUCUACCACCAUACCAUCCUGAAUGCGCCAGAUCUCAUCUAAUCUAGGAAGCUUAAGCAGGGUUGGGUCUGGCUAGUACUUGAAUGGGAGAAAUUAGAGUCUGGGUAAAAAAGUAGAUU